rnacentral:rRNA from 1 species
CGGUAAUUCCAGCUCCAAUAGCGUAUAUUAAAGUUGUUGCGGUAAAAAAGCUCGUAGUUGGAUUUCUGUUGGGGGAGCGCAGUUCAGACCUUGUCUGAAAUUGGUCUCUCCUCGGCAUCCUCUCGCACCCUUGGUGCGCUUAAUUGCGCGUCAGGACGUCGAGACUUUUACUUUGAGGAAAUUAGAGUGUUCACAGCAAGCUUAUGCAGGAAUACACUAGCAUGGAAUAAUACUAUAGGAUCUUGAUUUCUAUUUUUGGUUUCUAGGAUUGAGAUAAUGAUUAAUAGGGGCAUUUGGGGGCAUCUGUAUCGCUGCGUCAGAGGUGGAAUUCUUGGAUUGCAGCACGACAGACUACUGCGAAAGCAUUUGCCCAGGAUGUUUUCAUUGAUCAAGAACGAAAGUAAGGGGAUCGAAGACGAUUAGAUACCGUCGUAGUCUUUACCAUAAACUAUGCCAACUAAGGAUGGGGUAACGUUAACUUAUGACUUGCUCCGCACUUUAUGAGAUAUCAAAGUUUUUGGGUUCCGGGGGGAGUAUGGUCGCAAGACUGAAACUUAAAGGAAUUGACGGAAGGGCACCACCAGGAGUGGAGCCUGCGGCUUAAUUUGACUCAACACGGGGAAACUCACCAGGUCCAGACAUAAUAAGGAUUGACAGAUUGAUAGCUCUUUCUUGAUUUUAUGGGUGGUGGUGCAUGGCCGUUCUUAGUUCGUGGAGUGAUUUGUCUGCUUAAUUGCGUUAACGGACGAGACCUUAACCUGCUAAAUAGUGAGGCCUAUUCUCGCGAUAGACUUUUCGCUUCUUAGAGGGACUUUGCGCGUUUCAGCGCAAGGAAGUUUGAGGCUAAAACAGGUCUGUGAUGCCCUUAGAUGUUCUGGGCUGCACGCGCGCUACACUGAUGCGUUCAACGAGUGUACAACCUUGCCCGAUAGGGUUGGGUAAUCUUUUGAACACGCAUCGUGAUGGGGAUAGAUUAUUGCAAUUAUUAAUCUUCAACGAGGAAUUCCUAGUAAUGAUGGUUCAUCAGACCAUCGUGAUUACGUCCCUGCCCUUUGUACACACCGCCCGUCGCUCCUACCGAUUGAACAAUCCGGUGAAACCUCUGGACGCGUCUUAGUGGGGUCCCCUCACUCUGAUACGGAAGGAGUUUAAACCUUAUUGUUUAGAGGAAGGAGAAGUCGUAACAAGGUAACC